UACGAAGGGUGCAAGCGUUACUCGGAAUUACUGGGCGUAAAGCGUGCGUAGGUGGUUUGUUAAGUCUGAUGUGAAAGCCCUGGGCUCAACCUGGGAAUUGCAUUGGAUACUGGCAGGCUAGAGUGCGGUAGAGGAUGGCGGAAUUCCCGGUGUAGCAGUGAAAUGCGUAGAGAUCGGGAGGAACAUCUGUGGCGAAGGCGGCCAUCUGGACCAGCACUGACACUGAGGCACGAAAGCGUGGGGAGCAAACCGG
rnacentral:rRNA from 1 species